rnacentral:rRNA from 1 species
CCUACGGGAGGCAGCAGUGGGGAAUAUUGGGCAAUGGAGGAAACUCUGACCCAGCAACGCCGCGUGAAUGAUGAAGGUCUUCGGAUUGUAAAGUUCUUUUCUAAGGGAAGAAGAAAGUGACGGUACCUUAGGAAUAAGCCUCGGCUAACUACGUGCCAGCAGCCGCGGUAAUACGUAGGAGGCAAGCGUUAUCCGGAAUGACUGGGCGUAAAGGGUGCGUAGGUGGUUUGAUAAGUUGGUAGCGUAACUCCGAGGCUCAACCUCGGCACUACUACCAAAACUGUCGGACUUGAGUGCAGGAGGGGCAACUGGAAUGCCUAGUGUAGCGGUGGAAUGCGUAGAUAUUAGGAAGAACACCAGUGGCGAAGGCGGCUUGCUGGACAGUAACUGACGUUGAGGCUCGAAAGCGUGGGGAGCAAACAGGAUUAGAUACCCUAGUAGUC